AGACCCGAAACCCGGUGAUCUAGCCAUGGGCAGGUUGAAGGUUGGGUAACACUAACUGGAGGACCGAACCGACUAAUGUUGAAAAAUUAGCGGAUGACCUGUGGCUGGGGGUGAAAGGCCAAUCAAACCGGGAGAUAGCUGGUUCUCCCCGAAAGCUAUUUAGGUAGCGCCUCGUGAAUUCAUCUCCGGGGGUAGAGCACUGUUUCGGCUAGGGGGCCAUCCCGGCUUACCAACCCGAUGCAAACUGCGAAUACCGGAGAAUGUUAUCACGGGAGACACACGGCGGGUGCUAACGUCCGUCGUGAAGAGGGAAACAACCCAGACCGCCAGCUAAGGUCCCAAAGUCAUGGUUAAGUGGGAAACGAUGUGGGAAGGCCCAGACAGCCAGGAUGUUGGCUUAGAAGCAGCCAUCAUUUAAAGAAAGCGUAAUAGCUCACUGGUCGAGUCGGCCUGCGCGGAAGAUGUAACGGGGCUAAACCAUGCACCGAAGCUGCGGCAGCGAACGUAUCACUUAAAGCGAUUCAGCGGGUUACGAUUGACGGAGCGAAGCGACGUCAAAGCGUAUACAAAGUCGAGUCGGUUUAAGGAUACGUUCGUUGGGUAGGGGAGCGUUCUGUAAGCCUGCGAAGGUGGCCUGUGAGGGUUGCUGGAGGUAUCAGAAGUGCGAAUGCUGACAUAAGUAACGAUAAAGCGGGUGAAAAGCCCGCUCGCCGGAAGACCAAGGGUUCCUGUCCAACGUUAAUCGGGGCAGGGUGAGUCGACCCCUAAGGCGAGGCCGAAAGGCGUAGUCGAUGGGAAACGGGUUAAUAUUCCCGUACUUGGUGUUACUGCGAAGGGGGGACGGAGAAGGCUAUGUUGGCCGGGCGACGGUUGUCCCGGUUUAAGCGUGUAGGUGUGUGUUCCAGGUAAAUCCGGUUCACUUUAACACUGAGGCGUGAUGACGAGGCACUACGGUGCUGAAGCAACAAAUGCCCUGCUUCCAGGAAAAGCCUCUAAGCAUCAGGUAACAUCAAAUCGUACCCCAAACCGACACAGGUGGUCAGGUAGAGAAUACCAAGGCGCUUGAGAGAACUCGGGUGAAGGAACUAGGCAAAAUGGUGCCGUAACU
rnacentral:rRNA from 2 species